GAGAGCCACAAGAAGAACGUGAAACCCGCUCCAAAGAAGAUGCCUCGGACCGAUGUCGGUGUUAAUUGAUCUGGUUAUUCUGUUGUAAGAAAAGGAAACACCACACUGCGGCAUAAUUUCAUUUUUGCCCCGCGGAGAGGAGGAUGGUGUGUGGGUUGUCAUAACUUUGGACUCGCUGCUUUUCCUUGACACGCGCACUGAUCCAGUUGGUGAGGGCAGCAGUUGCAGGGUCUCUGAUCCUGAGGAGAUGACGGAAGUGGUAGAGCCCAAGCUGGACUUUGCAUCCUCGGGUCGCUCGGGGAGAAGGAACGCCCUACCUGACAUCCUGGGGUCACCGGCUGGGGUCAACCCCACUGACCUUCCACUCAAACUGGCCGAGCUCAACCUCACAGAUGUUCAGGGAGAAGCCCAGUCUCCCACGGCGGAGGAGGCCCCAUCCCCCCCAGAGAGCUCUGAGGGGAAUGAGGGAUCAUAAGGCUGCCUGGUGGGGGUCUAACUAGCCCCAAUGUUUACCUCUUGUGAGGCUGAUGAGAUAACUGUAGGAGAGGAAUGGAUGGGUAGGACGAUACAGAAGGACCCAUGAAGGAGUGGUGGGCCCGUUUGAACAGCAGCUGAGCUGCAGACAGUGAUAAGCAGAGAAAGGGUGGGAGAGAAGGUUAGAAGGAUGGACAGAGAACCGUCUCUAUCACACAAUCUGAAAAGACUUAAGAAGAGCGUUGGUGUGUGUGGGUGUGUGUGUGCGGGUGGACAGAUCACCUCUACUCCUACACACACUGCCAUGAGAAACAAAGGACAUACGCUGAUUAUAUACUGCUGUGCAAAACGGAGAACUCUCAAUUGAAAUUUUUUUUAAAUGUCCUGCUGACGUCUAUAACAGGUCGGAAGAUGGGCGGAUCCUAGUGGCCUCUAGGGGUUCUGAGCUUUCUGAUUGUUUUGGAACAUAUAAGGGGAUAAUGUAUUAUAAUGUACUAGAAAUGUUUGAAGAACGAGGGGAGAGUGGGUUAACUGUAUAACAAGGGGCAGCUGGCUUCCUCUUUCACACAGACAUUUGAUGUAAGUAUGAAUUCCGAUCUGAGACUUUAAUGCGGAUGGCAGCGUGGUGUGUACAGCAGAUAUGGGUUUAUAAACGUUGUUAGUGGUUUUGAUGACAACCAAUGGGGCUAUCAUGCUAAUGGGUUGAGAUGAAGACAAUGACUGAUGUGUUUGUGACCUGAAGUGUUGAUGUGUUUGUUUGCAAAGGUUAGCUAGAAGCUGAUGCUAAUGUUUUGAGUAGGUUGGACAAUCCAAUCCCUGUCUUUUAAACAUUCCUGACAUCCACCUAAAAUGGUUUCUCACUGCCAACCAUGUACUGUUAAAACACUCCUCUGCUGUUGGUGUAUUUCUAUCCCGGAUUCAUCCCAGCUCAGACUUUUCUGUUUCCAUCUACGUGGGCCGGCACCCGUGUCUCACUGGACCAUGGCUCCAGUGGACCUGCACUCACUUGGAGCCGGAGCCAGGCCGCUGGUACUUCUCAGAUGGCAUUUACAUAACAAUGGCUCACUGUGAACUUUAACACCUUCUCACAAAGCUGCUGUUUGGAUUGUGCAGCGGUUGUUGAAUUCUGCUCUUCACAAGUCCUCAGUGUCAGCGCAAUAGCUAUGGAAACACACUGGCUAGAAUAACAUAAGGGUGUAUACACUCUUGUAACAUUGGUGUCAUGGUUGAAAAAAACAGCAUGUGACAACUGCUGUUGUGUUAAUCUAUUCAGCUCAAGGCUGUCUUUCGUUAAAAGGCUUUCUGUUUUCCCAGACUCCUCUGAAAUGUGCCUGGUAGCAGUUUACAUGGAAACCUGUUUUGUUGUGUUCUAUAGCUCUGUGUGAAGUGUUGUUCAACAGUAUUUGGGCCAUUGACACAUACAUGUAAACACCUAUUUUUUUUUGUUUAGUAGAAGACGUGCCGACCAGGUGUGUACAGCACAGAGAAAUGUCACAUUUAUAACCAGAACACUACUAAAUGUUACCGAUUGUAUACGCUCAAAGACGAAUACCACCCACGCCCACAGCAAGGCCUUGGAGAUGGAACGCUUGUGCACAUGUUUCCCAGUGUGGUCGGCAUAUGCCUGUGGUCUGGGCAUGGGAGCAAGCACCAAGCAACACCGCCACCAAAGUGUUGCAUCAUGUCUGGAGAUGGCAGCAUCCUUUCUGCCUCCUUCUGCUCCACUCAGCCACAGACGGACUGGGACCAUAAAUCAGCCCCGGCAUUUGUAACACACAGGCCCUUUUUUCCCCUGGAGGCCCCUAUUGUUAGCCAAAUAAUGGUCAUUCUGCGUUAAAAAAAACAACAACAAUUUAGACAAGCCCACUUGGCUAAAGAUAGACCAUCUGGCAUUUUCCCGAACUGCCCUAUGGCCAGUCCGUGCCUGCACUACGCUGCCGGUCUGAGAGGACUUCUAUCUCUUACUCAUCAAAACAAUAGAGCUAGAAAUGCAUGAUCGCAACUGACUGAUGAUACAGUUUGAAUAUGAACACUGAGGACCAGAUGCACGGUGAACAGAAGGACCGACAUAUACAGUACUUAGUAAUGCCAAUAUAUAUAUAUACUGUUUAACACAGUACAUAAUACCAGUUAUUACACUGCAGUUGUAUAUAUUGUGCUAUUACACAUGGAGUUUAUUUACUAUAUGUACAUAUUCGUAUAGUGAAUUAACAUUCACUAUACAACACAAGAGACUGAACAUUCUGUAUUAUCAAUCGUCUUUCUAUGAAAUGUUUGGGCUGUGGGUAUCUAUGUGUGGUUUUGUCUCAAACGCAAGCAGCUGAGGCUCUAAUUCGUAAUGUACUGCACUGAUUACUGGAAUCGUUCAUGUGAUAACUCAAGGUAAAUGUUUAUUCUAUGGGGAGGGAAAAUCUGAGGUGUGUCUCGUAGUGUCAUCUGUUCUCAGUGGUGGUAUGUGCAGUACAUUUUCGUUAGCAUAAUUCCACAUGUCGAUUCUGUCAGGUGGGUAGGCAACAUGCCAUAAUAAAUCCACAAAGCUUUCCCUA